UGCAUGGCCGUCGUCAGUUCGUACUGUGAAGCAUCCUGUUAAGUCAGGCAACGAGCGAGACCCACGCCAACAGUUGCCAGCUCGUCCUCCGGGGAUGGUGGGGACACUGUUGGGACCGCCUCUGCUAAAGAGGAGGAAGGAAUGGGCAACGGUAGGUCAGCAUGCCCCGAAUUAUCUGGGCUACACGCGGGCUACAAUGGGUGGGACAAUGGGUAUCGACACCGAAAGGUGAAGGCAAUCUCCUAAACCCAUCCGUAGUUCGGAUUGUGGGCUGCAACUCGCCCACAUGAAGCUGGAAUCUGUAGUAAUCGUGUCUCAAAAUGGCACGGUGAAUAUGUCCCUGCUCCUU
rnacentral:rRNA from 1 species